UACGUAGGGGGCAAGCGUUGUCCGGAAUCAUUGGGCGUAAAGCGCGUGUAGGCGGUUCAGUAAGUCUGCUGUGAAAGUCCAGGGCUCAACCCUGGGAUGCCGGUGGAUACUGCUGGGCUAGAGUACGGAAGAGGCGAGUGGAAUUCCCGGUGUAGCGGUGAAAUGCGCAGAUAUCGGGAGGAACACCAAUGCGAAGGCAGCUCGCUGGGACGUUACUGACGCUGAGACGCGAAAAGCGUGGGGAGCAAACAGGG
rnacentral:rRNA from 1 species